UUCUGAGGCUGCUCCAGCUCCCUCUGGGUCUCAGCCGUGUAGCCCAGCCUGAGCCAGACACCGUCCCUGCUCAUGGGUGCUCUGCUGCACCAUUACUGAGGCUUCACCAAAGGCCCUGGGAGAUGUUGCUGACCAUGGACCUGCUUCAGGUGUCACCUGUAGCUGUGGAUGGAUGGGCCUCACAUUCGACACAACAGUCCUGGCUGCCAGAUUUUCUGUGCUGAUGUGGUUUGUAAGAGAUGGGGAGAGGCUGGAGUAUGCACUGGGCUUCCGGAUGGCCACAGCCACACUACAGCCACAGGGAGCCUUGGGCCAUGCAUUGCUGCCUAGAGCUGGUGAGCCUUGUUCCAGCCAGAGCCCCCAUCUUCAGCCCAAGGUUGUCCUGCUGCUGGAGUUGUCUCAGAUCUGCAGCACCGUCCACAGCCAUCAGAUGGUCCAUCAGUGUCCUGGGCUGUAUAGACACCAGUGGUCUCUGCAGGAGGCUGGUCUUUUUAGGAGCAAGGGAAACGAAGGAAGAAGUGUCUCAAAGGGAUGCUGAAUGGUGCAUGGUGAAUAGAUGAGUGCUUCCAAAAGGGCAUUGAUCUGGGGUGGGAUCCGAUCUGGCAAAGUCAGGUGGAGCAAUGUCUUCUUGCCAUCGAUGUGGGUCGGGAGCCAGCCACAGGCACAAACCAGCUCAGGAGGAGCAUUGUGAGUCAAAACAGGCUUCUUUGAAAGACAGGGUUGCUGAAAGUGAGCAGUGAUGUCCCUGAGGGUGGGCUGAGCCACUGGCUACUGUGCAGGAUACCCCAACCCACCACAAAGCACCCGGUGCUGUGGCAUAGGGGUCUCUGGAAGGCCCCAGCCCUGCUGGUUGAUGGUUCUCCAGCAGCACCAUUGCCAAGGCUGGGAGCUGGCUGGGGAUAUUAUUGUUAGGAGUGAUUGAGACUGAAGCAGAGAGGCAAACAGAAAGCCCUGGUCUGGCACAACUCUGUGCAUGGUGGACUUCUGCUUUGACUGCUCCAUGCUGUUGAGGUUCAAAUUGCUGUAUUUCUUUGUGCAGAAGGGCUAGAAGUGGAUAUGGGCAACAAGGGUGACUAAAGAAACUGAGUAGCUUCCACACAAGGAACAACUGAACAGGCUGGGAUGCUUCCUCCAGGGCCUGAGAUGAUAAGGGAAAGAAGACAGAAAGCUGUGUUCCCCCAGGUCAGACAAACCUUCAUGACGAUGAUGGGAGAUGCACUGCUCACUCAAAUGUUACCUCCAACCCCUUCUCCUGGGGCUGAGUGUAGAACUUACAGACCUGGUUACUGGAAACCUACCAAGACCACAUAGUGAUUUUUUCCCCUCCUCAAUAGCAACUAAAAUGUUUUGGCUCAAAUUUGUCUUUUUCUUGUGAGCUCUCGCUGUGAUUCUGGCCCCAGAAGGGAGCUUUUCAUCUACUGUAGGUAAUGUUUGACAGCAUUGCAAGCAAAUGAAAAUUGGGUCUUACAAAGGCCAGUGUCUGGAAAUCUUUAUCAAGCAGGACUAGCCUCGUUUAUGAUUACAUAUAUGUACAGUUUUGUACAAUUCCACAUCUUGGCCGGCUCUGAGGGCAAUUGCUCAAGAUUGUAUUUUUUUCCUCAAAGUGCUGGCAAUUUAUUGGUGGAAAAACUUAUUUUAUACCUUCAGGAGAAUACAAUGGCAUUGCUGUUGCCCUCUGAGAUGUUUUUAGGUCUUAACUACCCCAGGAAUGCCAACAGACCUUUGCACCAGCAGGCAUAGGAGCGAGCACUGAAAUGGCAGGGAAGGGGAGGAAUGUUUUCAGUCUUUUGGAUUUCUGCAUAAAAUAGAGGCUGAAAGCAUGUCUUCAAAAUAAUUGAGCAAGGAUACUGCUCAUUACAUAAGGUUGUUGGGGGAAAAAAUAGGCUGAUUUACAUUUUUAUAGGAAAUAAAAGGAGUUUAGUGGGUGACAUAGCACCUUCCGCUGAGAAUGUCAGCGUGAGAUAAGUGGGCUUCAAAUAAAAGAGUAAACAUUUUCCUGUGGGGACCGAAUCCAUCCCGGAGAGCCUGGUCCGGGAGGGAAGCAUUUUUAAAAGACAAUUUUUGUCGCCAUAAAUAAUAUGUUUCGUUAGCACAACGUGUGUUCACUGCAAGGAUGCUAAUUCCCAUCCUUGCCUGCUGAUUUUUGCUGGUUCAUCUGAGGUUUGGUGCAGCUCUGGGUAGCAGGGAAACUGGACUGCCUCCGUUUUGUGGAUGUGGUGCUUUUCCGGGCAAGGGGAGGGCUGGAUGUGCUUUACAGGAACAGAGGGAUAUUUCAGUGGCUGUCAGAGCAGGCUCUAGUUUAGAGAUACUUCAGUUUCAUUCACGAGUAGCCUGGUGAGGGUUUUAUCCUGGUUUCAGGUUGGUGGCCCUUUGAGAUUCGCGAUGCCAUGCUUCAGAUCCGCUGCUGUCUGGCAUAACAAUUCAGGUUGCUCAAAAGCAAUGAUUAGCAUAAAUGAACGAGUGGGUGAAAUGUUCAUUAUAUUGCCUACUGUCAUGUUUGUGUACCAGAUUUUGUUACCAUCUGUCAUUUCUGUUUUCUUGUUGUUGCCAAAAGUUGUCAUUCUGAAUGGAGGGUGGAGACAUAUUUUGAAAAGCCAACACGAGAUAAUUUUAGGUACUUUAGGGCUCAUAUGUUCCGUGCUGGGUGUCAGCAGCCCGCAUGUGCAUCAGCCUGGCGAGUCUUUGAUAAAUUCUGGGCAGUGAUUUAGUUAAAAGAGUUUUUAAAGUCAUUGGUUGCAGUCAUGCAAAUGCGUGAGGUUCUCAGCUCUUGCCAGUUGAAUAAAGGAUCUGGCCCUCGUAACUGUGAAGAAAAGCUUGAAAAUAAAAUGUUACGUUUCUCCUAAUGUUAAAAAAAAAAAAAAAAAGCAAAGAAUAUAAAGGAAGGGGACAUGUAGUGACAUCAGACUGGUAAAAACCAAGCUCCUGCCUAAAGAUCUGACCAAGGAAAGCGACAGCUUCGCUGCAGCAGACUGCAAUGUCCCCAGAUUAUUUCCAGAGAUGUAAAUGUCCUGGGGAUGAGAAGCUGGACAAAUUCAACCUUGAAAUAAGCUGCAGCUCUCUCACAGUGAUGGUAACUGCAUACUGCGACAGUCUGCAAGGGGAGCGGUGCACUCACCAGGGCUUGCAGCCUUUAAAGCAAAAUUAGCUCAUUUUCAAGCGCACGUUUUCAAUUCAGGUGCUGGGAAGAAUGGCUCAGCCUGUAAGUGGGGAGUUGGUACAUGAAGCCAUGAGGAUUUCUUGCCUUGCCCCAGUGCUACAAGAUCACCCAGUCUGAAAGCUGGGUGCCCUGUGCCAGCCAGGGAGGGAGAAGGCUCCGGGGCUUUUUGUCUGACCUGAGUUACAGGGCUCAGUGUUCACGUGAAAUGCAGUGAUGUGUGGCAUCAAAAAAUGCAGAAAAGAUGAUCUAAUGGUUUCAGUUUGACUUAAACUCCAGGAAUUACAAAGCCAGACAGUUUUGGGAUGUUUUUGUGAUGGUUGGGCAUAGCCAGCCAAUGAACCAACUUCAUAACCAAAACUAUAAAGAUACCCCAGUGUUGUGGUGAGAACUCACACUGGAGUGGGAGUUCAGGGAGCUACUGCUUGAUCAAGGAGAAGGAGAUGGGGCUGCCUUUGCUCUGAAAGAGCUCAACAUCUCUGACUGAAGUCUGGGGUAGACCAGGACCAUGUCAUGACAACAACCACUUAUAGACCAAAGGAGGAGAAGGAUGAGAAUGAGACUUCUUUCCAGGAAGUCUCAAAAAAUCCCAAGGUUUCUGGCAGGAGGGCUUUGAACUCUGUGUCCAGAGUCUCAGGCUGCCCACCUGCUGCCGCUGAACCCUGCUGGGAUGUUUGCUGGCUUCAGCAGGAUGAGGAGCCACCAAAUGACCUCUCCUGGGAGAGCCUUCAAAGAAGCCCAGAGGUGGCUCCACCAUGGUUAAGUCUGCACCAGCUACUGCAGUCACUAAAAGGUAAAUCAUGCUGUGAGAAAGUGAAAUCCACAUCCAGCUCCCUGUCUUCACUGGAUGCCUCCUAGAAGCUUUAAGCAGCUCCAUGGUGGGUUUGUACCCUUAGUGGUGCCAGCCACCCAGCCUUGGCUGCCCUGGGCUGGCCUGGCCCCUGCUUUGUAACCGCAGGAGGAGGUAGGACCAGGGGUACAAAAAGGGGCUUGAGAGCACAGCUGGUGUUGGUGCUGUCAACCAAGGCUCAACCCAAGAGCAACUGUAUGUCCGGGCUGAUCACCUCCAUAGCUGGAAGUCUCAGGUCACUCUCUUUACAACUGCUUCUUCCUCCCCACGCAUGGGCUGGGAUCAAGGGACUGUGCUUCCUCCAACAACUGGGCUCAUGCUGGCUCUGGUACAUUCUGUGAUGUUUUAAGUUACAAACUUUUCCUGGCAGAGCCUUCAUCCAUGCAAAAUCCUGUA